rnacentral:rRNA from 1 species
UGAUGAAGGCCUUAGGGUUGUAAAGCUCUUUCACCCACGACGAUAAUGACGGUAGUGGGAGAAGAAGCCCCGGCUAACUUCGUGC